rnacentral:rRNA from 1 species
CAAUAGCGUAUAUUAAAGUUGUUGCAGUUAAAAAGCUCGUAGUUGGAUUUGUGGUUCGUCCCGCCGGCUGGGCCAUUGACUUUUGCUGUGCUGGUCGUCCAUCCUUGGGUGGAAUCUGUGUGGCAUUAGGUUGUCGCGCAGGGGAUGCCCAUCGUUUACUGUGAAAAAAUUAGAGUGUUCAAAGCAGGCUUAUGCCGUUGAAUAUAUUAGCAUGGAAUAAUGAUAUAGGACCUUGGUACUAUUUUGUUGGUUUGCGCACUGAGGUAAUGAUUAAUAGGGACAGUUGGGGGUAUUCGUAUUCCAUUGUAAGAGGUGAAAUUCUUGGAUUUUUGGAAGACGAACUACUGCGAAAGCAUUUACCAAGGAUGUUUUCAUUAA